rnacentral:tRNA from 3 species
GGUCAGGAUAGCUCAGUUGGUAGAGCAGAGGACUGAAAAUCCUC